rnacentral:rRNA from 1 species
UACGUAGGGGGCAAGCGUUGUCCGGAUUAUUGGGCGUAAAGCGCGUGUAGGCGGCUGGGUAGGUCCGCUGUGAAAACUCGAGGCUCAACCUCGAGAGGUCGGUGGAAACCAUCCAGCUAGAGUCCGGAAGAGGAGAAUGGAAUUCCUGGUGUAGCGGUGAAAUGCGCAGAUAUCAGGAAGAACACCCGUGGCGAAGGCGGUUCUCUGGGACGGUACUGACG